AGGCGCAGUGGCCCCGGGGCCCGAGGCAGAGCUGUGUCACUUUCUCAGAGCUGUCUUCUCGAGACUCUGCCCUUCCCCAGGAAAGACAUGGAAGAGGAGAAAAUGAAUUCUGGGCUCCUAAUAGUCCAAUCCCAGGAGCCUGGCCUUUUCUUGAGGAUCAUGGAAAGAAAGGCUGCAGGUCUUAGAUUGAGACCUUUGACGGACCGUAGAGGCUUCUAAUCCAUGCCAGGAA